rnacentral:lncRNA from 1 species
CAGAGCAGAGUCCGGUAACCUCCACCUUCCGCUGCGUCCUGUGUGCUGCUGGCUGGAGAAGGGACCUUGGAAGCAGCCAGGUUCCAUGAGUUAAAUGCAGAUCUGAACCAUACUGAGCUGGGAUUAAAGUACACACCCUCCUCUUCUGAAAAGUAGCUAAGGAUUCCAACUUGUUGUAGUGGAGAGUGUGGCAGAGCCGGACCAGACAAGGACUGAUCACAUGGAAAAGCAUGUUGUCAAAGGCCUUGGUGGGAGCAGGGCAGGUACCUUCCCAGGCUCUGAAGGAGAAUGAGUUUCUGGCCCUGGAGGCUUCCUGGAAUCCUCAGCUUGUGCUGCCCUUCUUGAAUGACUCGAGGUUCCUGCUUCCAUCACUACGCUUCCCAUCGCUCUCCAUCACCUGCUCUGCUCUGGCUGGCUGCAGUCUUCGUUCCCUGCAACAUUUGUCUCCUGGGUUCAAGUGAUUCUUCUACCUCAGCCUCCUGAGUACCUGGGACUACAGGUGCCUGCCACCAUGUCUGGUUAAGUUUUGUAUUUUUGGAUGAGAUGGGCACAUGGAGGGGGUAGUGGAAGGUGGGGGAGGGGACGGAAGUUUCUGCUAUGUUGCCCUCAGCUCAAAGCGAUCCACUUACCUCUGCUCCCUAAGUGCUAGGAUUACAGGCCUACAUCACCUCACUGGCUGCUGUAAAGUCUUAUUUCCACACAAGUGAGAUAUGU